rnacentral:pre_miRNA from 1 species
UCUAGAAUGUGAGAUAUAAGUUGAACACCGAACAAUGUCUGGGUUGUAGGAUAGAUUCAGACUUCUCUUUUGUUGCUAAUAUUUGAGCUUGAAAACGAUAGUUUUGAAUUUUUGACUCUUCAUGAAUGUUUUAGGCCUAUGUCGUAGCUUUCCAUC